CUCUGGCUACCUAAAACUUCAGUUAAAUCUCGGUUACUCUAAAUAAGAUACAGAGUCCGAAACAUUAUCAGCAACUUAGACCGUAGUGAUUAAGCAGCAUCAACAGCUUAAACCGCAGUGAUUAAUAAUUUAAUAUACGUGUCAGUGAUACGAUAAACGAGCUUUUCAUUUUGACUGAAAAAGAAUGCUAGUUUGUUGUUAUACACUUGCAUUGGACGAUAAGCGCGACGAAUCCGAAUCCGAAUCCAAAUACAAAUCCAAAUGCUAAGACUACAAUAAUAUAUAGCAAAGGAAUCCAAGAAAGUAUGAUACGAAAAGGAAAAGUCAAAGUGAAGAAGAAAUGAAAAGCGGUUUCAAAAUUCACGAAUCAUCAUCAUCAUCAUCAUCAUCAAGGUAACGUAGAUGUUCACUUCGAUUUUGCAACUACGAAAACAAUUCAGAAACCUUGAAAACGGAAUCACCAGCAGAUUAACCAAUAAAUAAAUGAAAAUAAGUUAUGAAAACAGGUAUUGAAA
rnacentral:lncRNA from 1 species